GCCUCUUUAGCUUAACUGGAUAGAGUAUCUCCCUCCUAUUAGGAGUGUGAUGGGAGUUCGAGUCUCCCAGGAGGCG